UACAGCCACAUCAUGUUGAAACACUAGUUCCUGGUCAUCGAAGUUAAGCAACAUUGAGCCUGUUCAGUACCUAGAUGGGUGACUGCUUGGGAAUACCAGGUGCUGUAAG